rnacentral:lncRNA from 1 species
AAACUUCAAUACAAGAGUAAAAGAGAUAUAUUUUCUUCCACUUGUUAUUUGGUAGGAAGAUAAUACACUCGGGCAGACGGACAUCCGUUACCAGUUAAGGUAAACAUAUCAAGGAUGACUCGCUGAGAAAAAAGACGAAUAUUCAAUACCGGUUAUUGAGUAAGAAUAACCUACUGGGGAAAUGAAGAAAUAGGAUUUACGACUAUCUGCAGGGAUAGAAGACCGGAGGAAGAAUAUUUGUCAUCGAUUAGGAGGGACAUAUCAAAGAUAGACUACCGGGGAGAAUAUCCGUUACCGAUUAAGGUAAACAUAUCAAGGAUAGACUCGCAAAGAAAAUAAGGUUUACAUCUGCCGGUUACUGGGCAAAUAGACCAAAGAAAGAGAAUAUAUGUCACCGGUUAAGAUGAACAUAUCAAGGAUAGACUCAGCAGGGGAA